ACAACUGCAACCUGGGCAUAUGCCCUGACCGGGAAUAGAACUGUGACCUCCUGGAUCAUAGGUCCACGCUCAGCCUCUGAGCCACAAUCAGCUGGGCUGACAUUUUCCUUUUCAAAGGCAGAAAUAAAUCUAAUCCAAGGAACUAAGUCAGCAAAAUAGGGAAGAGAAUUCCGUCCCACAUAUCGUGCGUGACCCCAGCCCAUCCCUUCUUCAGUCCCGACUUUCUGGCCACUUGGAAAAUUGUCUCAGAAUGACCAACCAAGAAAUAUCCUAGCUAACUACUGCACGUUCAAGGUGAAGAAGGGGAGAGGGGGAGCUCUCUAGACCAAAAGACCUAGUUUUUUACAAGAAAAGAUCAAGGUUGGUAUCAGACUUCUCAAAAGAGUCAGCAGCAGUGGAGCAACAUUUUCGAGAAACUCAAACUAAAAAUAUGAACUAAGUGUUUAAUACCGACUAAGCUGCCCAAGCAUCGAGGAUAAUUUUUAAAAGGUUUUAAUCAUGCACAAGCUCAGGAAGUAACGCCUUAGGAUUCUACUAAAAGACAAGCUUCCUCCAACCAGGAGAUGACUGGUGAAACGGAAGCACAAGGACUGGCAGUGAUCAUUGCAUAUCUUUAAUUUGGGAUAAAAGACCAAAAUGGACGUGGGGAUAAGGGUGGAAGAAUAGUAUCCAGUGGUAUAUGCUUUGACAAGGUAGAAGUAACACAAUAAAUAAAUGGAAAAGGAGAGAGGGAGAGGACAGUACGAAGAGCUCUUGGUUGCAAAGGCAAUUUGGGUGAGUCACUAUCAUUUAAAGCUGACAAGACAAAUAGUUGAGGCUUCAAUGAGGAAAAAGGGACACGGAGAAUUAUAUAAAAGCAAUAGUGUGUGGUAUUAAAGGUAAUCAGUAGGACAAAAAUAGGCAUCUCCUUCAAUGCCCUCACAAAUAGUAAUACAGGGGACAGAGCACAUAGUCAUAAAGAUCUCACAUUAACAAACAGGAAAAAAUAGAAUUAAUAAGUAAACAGUAUUUUGAGUAUUUGAAAAAAAAAUCAAAAUACGUAAACUACUAGCUAAUAAAAAGGGGAGAAAGCAGUAACACAAAAUAAAAAGUGAAAAAUUAAUGUUGAAACAAUGUCUUUUUAAUUUUAAGGACUACUUCACACAACUCUGCAAAUAAAUUUGAAAAUCUAGAAGAAAUGGUAAACACCUAGGAAAAUGCAAAAUUUACUAAAAUGACUUCAGUAGUGACAGAAAGUUUAAGCAGACUAAUUUUCAUAAAAGGAACAAAUGAUUGUAAAAGAACUACCCUAUCAAAAAGGCACUAGGUUAGGUGGGGGUCACAGGGGAAUUUGACUAAACUUUCAUAGACUAGUUAAUCCCUAUGCUUCAGAAUGUAUCCCAGAACCCUAGAAAAG